rnacentral:tRNA from 1 species
GCCCGGGUAAGCAAACUGGUAAAGCUGGCGGACUUAAAAUCCGCUGCCCGAAAGGGCGGUGCGGGUUCGAGCCCCGCCCCGGGUA